UAGCUCAGUUGGUUAGAGCGUGGUGCUGAUAACACCAAGGUCACGGGUUCGAUCCCCGU
rnacentral:tRNA from 1 species